rnacentral:rRNA from 1 species
UACGUAGGGGGCAAGCGUUGUCCGGAAUCAUUGGGCGUAAAGAGCGCGUAGGCGGUCCGGUAAGUCCGCUCUGAAAGUCCGGGGCUCAACCCCGGGAGGCGGGCGGAUACUGUCGGGCUAGAGUCCGGAAGAGGCGAGUGGAAUUCCUGGUGUAGCGGUGAAAUGCGCAGAUAUUAGGAGGAACACCAAUGGCGAAGGCAGCUCGCUGGGACGGUACUGACGCUGAGGCGCGAAAGCGUGGGGAGCGAACAGG